rnacentral:rRNA from 1 species
UACAGAGGGUGCAAGCGUUAAUCGGAAUUACUGGGCGUAAAGCGCGCGUAGGUGGUUUGUUAAGUUGGAUGUGAAAGCCCCGGGCUCAACCUGGGAACUGCAUCCAAAACUGGCAAGCUAGAGUACGGUAGAGGGUGGUGGAAUUUCCUGUGUAGCGGUGAAAUGCGUAGAUAUAGGAAGGAACACCAGUGGCGAAGGCGACCACCUGGACUGAUACUGACGCUGAGGUGCGAAAGCGUGGGGAGCAAACAGG